GUGCCAGCCGCCGCGGUAAGACGUAGGGGGCAAGCGUUGCUCGGAAUCACUGGGCUUAAAGGGCGCGUAGGCGGAACGGCAAGUGUCUUGUGAAAUCCCCCGGCUUAACCGGGGAAUGGCUGGGCAAACUGCCGUUCUUGAGGCAAGCAGGGGUGCGUGGAACUCUUGGUGGAGCGGUGGAAUGCGUAGAUAUCAAGAGGAACGCCGAUGGUGAAGACAGCGCACUGGGCUUGUCCUGACGCUGAGGCGCGAAAGCGUGGGGAGCAAACAGGAUUAGAUACCCUGGUAGUCCACGCCCUAAACGAUGCCUACUAGGUUGUGGAGGUUCUGACGCCUUCGCAGCCGAAGCAAAAGUGUUAAGUAGGCCGCCUGGGGAGUACGGUCGCAAGGCUAAAACUCAAAUGAAUUGGCGGGG
rnacentral:rRNA from 1 species